rnacentral:pre_miRNA from 1 species
AGCUUCCUGGAUCCGUGAAGAGAUUUUGUCAGACACCAUCUCACCAGGAAUGGCCAGACUUCCAAGAUAAGUGAAGUU